CUGGUAUGAAAGGUUGAACAAAGAAAAGACUGUCUCUAUUGUAAGUCUUAAACUUGACUUUUAAGUGAAAAGGCUUAAAUAAUUUAGAGGGACGAUAAGACCCUAUAAAGCUUUAUAAAGAAUAAAAGUUAAUGAAGAAUUAAAUAAAUUUAUAAUUUUGUGAUUUUAUUUUGUUGGGGUGACGUUUAUAUAAAUUGUUGUAACUGUAAAAAAUUGUAACAUGGAAUAGGUGAGUUUGAAUGUAAUUGAUCCUUUUUAAAGAUUUAAAUCUAAGUUACUUUAGGGAUAACAGCGUUAUUUCUUUUGAGAGUUCAAAUCGAAAAAGAAGUUUGCGACCUCGAUGUUGAAUUAAAUUAUCUGAAUAGUGUAGCAGCUAAAAGAGAAAGUCUGUUCGACUUUUAAAUGUUU
rnacentral:rRNA from 1 species